UAACACAGUGGAUGCUUGAGAGCUUGGAC
rnacentral:piRNA from 1 species